UUUACGAUUUGCUGCCUAAAAAUAUUAUUAACGCCAAACUUGCUGAAAUUUGGCUAAGUGCGAAGGAAGGCUGAGUCAAGUGCGGGACUUGACUGCCCUGCGAGUGUGACUUUGGACUGACCAAAAACGCCCCCGUGACACCUACCAUGGUGGUGAAGGGUGACGGAGAAUUAGGGUUCGAAUCCGGAGAGGGAGCCUGAGAAACGGCUACCACAUCCAAGGAAUGCAUCAGGCGCGAAAAUUACCCAAUCCUGACACGGAGAGGUAGUGACAAUAAAUAACAAUACCGGGCUCUAUGAGUCUGGUAAUUGGAAUGAGUACAAUCUAAAUCCCUUAGCGAGGAUCCAUUGGAGGGCAAGUCUGGUGCCAGCAUCCGCGGUGAUUCCAGCUCCAAUAGCGUAUAUUUAAGUUGUUGUAGUUAAAAAUCUCGUAGUUAGACUUUGGGAUGGGCCGGCCGAUCCGCCUUAGGUGUGCACCGGUCGUCUCGUCCCUUCUACCGGUGAUGCGCUCCUGGCCUUAAUUGGCUGGGUCGUGCCUCCGGCGUUGUUACUUUGAAGAAAUUAGAGUGCUCAAAGCUAGCCUACGCUCUGUAUACAUUAGCAUGGGAUAACAUUAUAGGAUUUCUAUCCUAUUACGUUGGCCUUCGGGAUCGGAGUAAUGAUUUACAGGGACAGUCGGGGGCAUUCGUAUUUCAUAGUCAGAGGUGAAAUUCUUGGAUUUAUGAAAGACGAAUGACUGCGAAUGCAUAUUCCAAGGAUGUUUUCAUUAAUCAAGAACGAAAGUUGGGGGCUCGAAGACAAUCAGAUACCGUCCUAGUCUCAACCAUAAACGAUGCUGACCAGGGAUUGGCGGAUGUUGGCAUGUUGCUUUUAGAACUCCGCCGGCACCUUAUGAGAAAUCAAAGUUUUUAGGUUCCGGGGGGAGUAUGGUCGCAAGUCUAAAACUUAAUGGAAUUGACGGAAGGGCACCACCAGGAGUGGAGCCUGCAGCUUAAUUUGACUCAACACGGGGAAACUUACCAGGUCCAGACAUAGUAAGGAUUGACAGACUGAGAGCUCUUUCUUGAUUCUACGGGUGGUGGUGCAUGGCCGUUCUUAGUUGGUGGAGCGAUUUUUCUGGUUAAUUCCGUUAACGAACGAGACCUCAUCCUACUAACUAGCUAAGCGGAGGUAUCCCUUCGCGGCCAGCUUCUUAGAGGGACUACAGCCUUUUAGGCCGUAGAAGUUUGAGGCAAUAACAGGUCUGUGAUGCCCUUAGAUGUUCUAGGCCGCACGCGUGCUACACUGAUGUAUUCAACGAGUUAAUAGCCUUGGCUAACAGGCCCGGGUAAUCUUUGAAAUUUCGUCGUGAUAGGGAUAGAUCAUUGCAAUUGUUGGUCUUCAACGAGGAAUUCCAAGUAAGCGCGAGUCAUCAGCUCGCGUUGACUACGUCCCUGCCCUUUGUACACACCGCCCGUCGCUCCUACCGAUCGAAUGAUCCGGUGAAAUGUUUGGAUCGCGACGAUGUGGGCGGUUUGCUGCCCGCGAUGUCGCACUCCAUUGAACCUUAUCAUUUAGAGGAAGGAGAAGUCGUAACAAGGUUUCCAUAGGUGAACCUGCGGAAG
rnacentral:rRNA from 1 species